rnacentral:snoRNA from 1 species
UAGCUAUUGAUAAAUUAAAUUGCAUAAAGGAAACCUGUCUUAUUAAAACACAAUAGAGAAAGAAACUCCCCCAUGGAAACAUCGUAUAUAACCGAUAGCGUUAGCGACAACUGAACAA